UCCUUCGGANCACCGGCGGACUGCUAGUAACACGUUGGACAACCUACCCUCGGGUGGGGGAUAACCUCGGGAAACUGAGGCUAAUACCCCAUAGGCCUCGGAUACUGGAAGGUUCCGAGACCGAAAGCUCCGGCGCCCGAGGAUGGGUCUGCGGCCUAUCAGGUAGUUGGUGGUGUAAAGGACCACCAAGCCUACGACGGGUACGGGCCCUGAGAGGGGGAGCCCGGAGAUGGACUCUGAGACACGAGUCCAGGCCCUACGGGGCGCAGCAGGCGCGAAACCUUCGCAAUGCGCGAAAGCGCGACGAGGGGAGCCCGAGUGCCCUUCCUUUCGGGAGGGCUUUUCUGGAGCCUAAAAAGCUCCAGGAAUAAGGGCUGGGCAAGACGGGUGCCAGCCGCCGCGGUAAUACCCGCAGCUCGAGUGGUGGCCACUAUUAUUGAGCCUAAAGCGUCCGUAGCCGGACCCGUAAAUCCCUGGGUAAAUCCUGGCGCUCAACGUCAGGAAUUCCGGGGAGACUGCGGGUCUUGGGACCGGGAGAGGCCGGAAGUACUCCCGGNGUAUGGGUAAAAUCCUGUAAUCCCGGGGGGACCANCUGUGGCGAAAGCNUCCGGCUUGANCUGCUC
rnacentral:rRNA from 1 species